ensembl:lncRNA
AAAAAAUCAUAAGGGGUAACACUGUUGUUUUUUAUUGGUCGUCAUGAAAAAAACCAUAAGGGGUAACACUGUUGUUUUUUAUUGGUCGUCAUGAAAAAAACAUAUGGGGGGUAACAGUGUUGUUUUUUAUUGGUUGUCAUGAAAAAAACCAUAAGGGGUAACACUGUUGUUUUUUAUUGGUCGUCAUGAAAAAAAACAUAAGGGGUAACACUGUCGUUUUUUAUUGGUCGUCAUGAAAAAAAACAUAAGGGGUAACACUGU